rnacentral:rRNA from 1 species
GAUGAACGCUGGCGGCGUGCCUAAUACAUGCAAGUCGAGCGAACGGACGAGAAGCUUGCUUCUCUGAUGUUAGCGGCGGACGGGUGAGUAACACGUGGAUAACCUACCUAUAAGACUGGGAUAACUUCGGGAAACCGGAGCUAAUACCGGAUAAUAUUUUGAACCGCAUGGUUCAAAAGUGAAAGACGGUCUUGCUGUCACUUAUAGAUGGAUCCGCGCUGCAUUAGCUAGUUGGUAAGGUAACGGCUUACCAAGGCAACGAUGCAUAGCCGACCUGAGAGGGUGAUCGGCCACACUGGAACUGAGACACUGUCCAGACUCCUACGGGAGGCAGCAGUAGGGAAUCUUCCGCAAUGGGCGAAAGCCUGACGGAGCAACGCCGCGUGAGUGAUGAAGGUCUUCGGAUCGUAAAACUCUGUUAUUAGGGAAGAACAUAUGUGUAAGUAACUGUGCACAUCUUGACGGUACCUAAUCAGAAAGCCACGGCUAACUACGUGCCAGCAGCCGCGGUAAUACGUAGGUGGCAAGCGUUAUCCGGAAUUAUUGGGCGUAAAGCGCGCGUAGGCGGUUUUUUAAGUCUGAUGUGAAAGCCCACGGCUCAACCGUGGAGGGUCAUUGGAAACUGGAAAACUUGAGUGCAGAAGAGGAAAGUGGAAUUCCAUGUGUAGCGGUGAAAUGCGCAGAGAUAUGGAGGAACACCAGUGGCGAAGGCGACUUUCUGGUCUGUAACUGACGCUGAUGUGCGAAAGCGUGGGGAUCAAACAGGAUUAGAUACCCUGGUAGUCCACGCCGUAAACGAUGAGUGCUAAGUGUUAGGGGGUUUCCGCCCCUUAGUGCUGCAGCUAACGCAUUAAGCACUCCGCCUGGGGAGUACGACCGCAAGGUUGAAACUCAAAGGAAUUGACGGGGACCCGCACAAGCGGUGGAGCAUGUGGUUUAAUUCGAAGCAACGCGAAGAACCUUACCAAAUCUUGACAUCCUUUGACAACUCUAGAGAUAGAGCUUUCCCCUUCGGGGGACAAAGUGACAGGUGGUGCAUGGUUGUCGUCAGCUCGUGUCGUGAGAUGUUGGGUUAAGUCCCGCAACGAGCGCAACCCUUAAGCUUAGUUGCCAUCAUUAAGUUGGGCACUCUAAGUUGACUGCCGGUGACAAACCGGAGGAAGGUGGGGAUGACGUCAAAUCAUCAUGCCCCUUAUGAUUUGGGCUACACACGUGCUACAAUGGACAAUACAAAGGGCAGCGAAACCGUGAGGUCAAGCAAAUCCCAUAAAGUUGUUCUCAGUUCGGAUUGUAGUCUGCAACUCGACUACAUGAAGCUGGAAUCGCUAGUAAUCGUAGAUCAGCAUGCUACGGUGAAUACGUUCCCGGGUCU